CCUACGGGAGGCAGCAGUGAGGAAUAUUGGUCAAUGGGCGCAAGCCUGAACCAGCCAAGUCGCGUGAAGGAUGAAGGCGCUACGGGUUGUAAACUUCUUUUAUAAAGGAAUAAAGUGAGCCACGUGUGCCUUUUUGCAUGUACUUUAUGAAUAAGCAUCGGCUAACUCCGUGCCAGCAGCCGCGGUAAUACGGAGGAUGCGAGCGUUAUCCGGAUUUAUUGGGUUUAAAGGGUGCGUAGAUGGGUUGUUAAGUCAGUUGUGAAAGUUUGCGGCUCAACCGUAAAAUUGCAAUUGAUACUGGCAGUCUUGAGUACAGUUGAGGUAGGCGGAAUGCGUGGUGUAGCGGUGAAAUGCUUAGAUAUCACGAAGAACUCCGAUUGCGAAGGCAGCUUACUAAACUGCCACUGACAUUGAUGCUCGAAAGUGUGGGUAUCAAACAGGAUUAGAUACCCCUGUAGUC
rnacentral:rRNA from 1 species